rnacentral:rRNA from 1 species
AAUGAACGUUGGCGGCAUGGAUUAGGCAUGCAAGUCGUACGAGAAGCCAAUUAGCUUGCUAUGAGGCGGACAGUGGCGAAAGGGAGAGUAACGCGUGGUUACUUGCCCUCGAGACCGGGAUAGCGUCGGGAAACUGGCAGUAAUACCGGAUAACAUCUACGGAUCAAAUGGUGUGAUUCCGCUCGAGGAUAGGACCGCGUACUAUUACGCUUGUUGGUGAGGUAACGGCUCACCAAGGCUUUGAUGGUUACCGGGUGUGAGAGCAUGGCCCGGCUCACUGGGACUGAGACACUGCCCAGACACCUACGGGUGGCUGCAGUCGAGAAUCUUCGGCAAUGGACGAAAGUCUGACCGAGCGAUGCCGCGUGCGGGAUGAAGGCCUUCGGGUUGUAAACCGCUGUCAAUUGGGAGGAAAGUCUUGUGAAGAGCAAGACCUGACCGAUCUUUAGAGGAAGGACGGGCUAAGUUCG